UACGAAGGGGGCUAGCGUUGCUCGGAAUCACUGGGCGUAAAGGGUGCGUAGGCGGGUUUUUAAGUCAGAGGUGAAAUCCUGGAGCUCAACUCCAGAACUGCCUUUGAUACUGAGAAUCUUGAGUUCGGGAGAGGUGAGUGGAACUGCGAGUGUAGAGGUGAAAUUCGUAGAUAUUCGCAAGAACACCAGUGGCGAAGGCGGCUCACUGGCCCGGUACUGACGCUGAGGUGCGAAAGCGUGGGUAGCAAACAGG
rnacentral:rRNA from 1 species